AUAGAUCACUGAUAAUGAAAGCAACUGUAGUCUUGGUCUGGAUCGUAUGUCAGGCAGUGACAGGAAUCAAGCCACAGGAAUGUACUUCUGAAAGAAAAGGAGGGGCUAAUCAGAUUUAUACUAAAGAUGCUGGUAGUUCUUCAGCUUGUGACACGAAGGAUCCAAACAUUUCCAAAAUUGGACGAACCAGUACGACGAUGACAGUAUUCGUGGACAAUGACCUGCAUUACUUAGUUUGUUAUAAAAAGGCAGAUGAAACCGAAUGGUCAUUCAAAGAAAUCAACAAUAAUAAAACGGAUUUGUAUGAAUUAGCCGUGUGUACCGAGUACACUAUCGGUCUUGC